UACGUAGGGGGCGAGCGUUGUCCGGAUUUAUUGGGCGUAAAGAGCUCGUAGGCGGCUUGGCAAGUCGGGUGUGAAACCUCCAGGCUCAACCUGGAGACGCCACUCGAUACUGCCAUGGCUAGAGUCCGGUAGGGGACGACGGAAUUCCUGGUGUAGCGGUGAAAUGCGCAGAUAUCAGGAGGAACACCGGUGGCGAAGGCGGGUCUCUGGGCAGUGAACUGACGCUGAGGAGCGAAAGCGUGGGGAGCAAACAGG
rnacentral:rRNA from 1 species